CUUCCGGGUGGAGCGGCCGCUACCUGCCCGCAGUCACGGAGACAGCGGACCUCCACGCGGCGCCUGCGCGCUGGGAGGGGCGGGCUCAGGACCCAUUUCCGGGGCAGGGAGCCACCCAGUCCUGUGCAGUUAAGAGUUUGUCCGCAUACUGGCAUGGUAAGGGCGGAAGUACGGGAACUGGGGUCUCUAGCUUUUCGGGCUGUGGCGAGGCGACUGAUACGAGAUGGAGACAGGCGCGGCCGGGGAAGGUGGUCUGAACGGCCCCCGGGGGCGGCGAGUCUUGGAUGAAGCAGAGAGGCCGCAGCUGAACCAUGAAGUGCAGCCUCAGUCCGGAGCAAACAGCUGUCCCAAACAUUCCUACUGGUUGGAUCUCUGGCUCUUCAUCCUCUUCGACCUGGUAUUGUUUUUCUUCGUGUAUUUUUUGCCAUGAUGGUUCUCCUGAUAGCUAAAUGAUUUUGGGCUCCUGGAGUGGAUCCUGAAAGUGACUACACACAACAAAGAAGAUUGUGCAGCAGAAGAAUUUCAAAUUCUAAGGGACCUUCCUUUCAUUUCACACAUUCUCUUAUUCUUUUGGGGCACUAUAUUAAAUUGGUAAUGAUCUCAUCCAUUCAGAGCUGUUCCGAAAACUAGACUCCGAUUUCUGUUUAAAACCUUUUCAAAUAUCUGAUGUCUUUACAGAAGCUGAAUAUAAAAGUAUUUCUACAUAAAGAUUUACUGUGCUUAUUAGGAAAUACAUUAAUGUUUUUAACAUUUUAAGGGUUAGCCAGGAUUUAAAUUAAGUGAACUUUGUUAUGGUUGCCAGAUUGGUACAGUCUUAGAGCAAGUAUAUAACAUGCAAUAAUGGAAAGCUAGAGUGCAUGUCCUCUUACCUGGAUGCUUCCCCUCAUUUGCUUUUAAGCUUUGGUGUGUUUCAAACCUAUUUUUAUUAUUGUGGUUGCAUUGAGAAUGGUUGUGGCCAAAACAAGUUUUUAAUAAUGUCUGUAACUUAUUUCAGCAAAGUCAGCAUAUUUACUCAUUAACAGAUAUGUGAGCAGAUAUUUGGACCAGGUACAACAGUUAACCAAACCAACAAAAAUUCUUGCCUUCAUGGAGCUUACAUUCUUUUUAUCUAAAUUCAUUAAUAUGUUAAAUGUUAUUCUAGGAGUGAUCAGCUAGUGUGUAAUCAGAAAGGUCACACUCCCAAAGCAGCUACUCUAAGUCUUCAGAAUCAUUAAUAUGUUAAAUGUUAUUCUAGGAGUGAUCAGCUAGUGUUUAAUCAGAAAGGUCACACUCCCAAAGCAGCUACUCUAUUAUGUAACAGACAUCAGAAAUGACCUGUCCUUAUUAUAGGGGUUUCCUUAUAAUGGGGUGAUGUGUUAUAUAUUGGAAUUGUCAAAUAGUUUGGGGAUAUUCCCCUCCCUCAGAAACAGGGCAUAGAUCAGAUGAACUCUAUCUACAUCCUCUACUUUUUAGAAUGGCAUUUAGGUUAGCAUAAAAGCUGGAAUGAUUUUGGAGGAUUUUAGCCUAAUGCUAACUAUAAGGUUAAUAAUUAUGCCUUCAGAGUAUUGUUCCAUCUGCCUGAAGAAACCUUUUAUGCAAAAGUUGAAGCAUCAAGAGAAAACAGAACUGGGAUUUCAUUGAGGAUACCAAGCAGAUUGUAUGAAUUAUUUUUGUGCUGCUUGAUAAUACUUUUGUCCAAUAAAUGUUUAUUGUACAGGCA